rnacentral:tRNA from 1 species
CUUGAUGCCUGAGUGAAAUUUUCUUAGCCUUGAUCCUGUCACCUUAGGUCGAUCGGUACCUCAGAUUGAAAGUCAAGGAAGUCUGUAUAUCAGGUUUAAUUGGCAAUUGAUUUUAGUUCCUAAACUUGUCUAGGUCACACCCAACAAGGGUAAUCCUGGGCCAUUAGCUCAGGUGGUUAGAGCGCACCCCUGAUAAGGGUGAGGUCCCUGGUUCAAGUCCAGGAUGGCCCAUUCGGUGUUGGGGGUUUAGCUCAGUUGGUAGAGCGCCUGCUUUGCAAGCAGGAUGUCAGCGGUUCGAGUCCGCUAACCUCCACUGAUCAAACUCCUUUAACUAAACUGAAGGAGGAUACCUUUGAUUGUUGUGAUUUAGACUUUCUUACUGGAGGAACCUAGCUUCCUAUCAUUCCGAAAUCUAAUUAUUUAGAUAGGGUUGAAAGGACGCUGGCUCACUGUAGUUCAAUUGAAUUACAGAGAUGUUCAGUAGAACCUUGACAACUGCAUAGUUUAGUCUGGAAAAAAUUAAGCAUCUCAUGGAUGCAUUAAUUCAUUAAGAGACUACAUUUAGAAAUUUUCUAAAUGUUAGUUUUUAAUUGAAUAAUGUUUAAAUUCUUGAGCAAGAGCCGAGACUUCUGAAUAG